rnacentral:rRNA from 1 species
GUGCCAGCCGCCGCGGUAAGACGAACCGUGCGAACGUUAUUCGGAAUCACUGGGCUUAAAGCGCGUGUAGGCGGAUGCGCACGUCGGUCGCUGAAAUCCCCCGGCUCAACCGGGGAACGGGCGCCGAUACGGCGCGUCUCGAGGGGCGUAGGGGGACCUGGAACUUCCGGUGGAGCGGUGAAAUGCGUUGAGAUCGGAAGGAACGCCCGUGGCGAAAGCGAGGUCCUGGACGCCUACUGACGCUGAGACGCGAAAGCCAGGGGAGCGAACGGGAUUAGAUACCCUAGUAGUCC